AUACAUACCUGGGCGGGGUGAAUCGGUGAUCAAGGAGGCCGAUGGCCUAGGAAGACCAGCCUCCAUUGCACUAGGGAGGGUGGUUUUCUUAGCAUCUCCCAUUGAGGAGAAUGCACGUCAUAAUUUGUUGCUGCGGGGGCUCGCGUUCGCGCGGCCCCCAA
rnacentral:snRNA from 1 species